ACUUUUAAAGUACAAGAGCGACCUGUUGGUCUUAGGAACCAAAAAUAUUGGUGCAACUCCAAAUAAAAGUA
rnacentral:tRNA from 1 species